GAUGAACGCUGGCGGCGUGCCUAAUACAUGCAAGUCGAGCGAACGGACGAGAAGCUUGCUUCUCUGAUGUUAGCGGCGGACGGGUGAGUAACACGUGGAUAACCUACCUAUAAGACUGGGAUAACUUCGGGAAACCGUAGCUAAUACCGGAUAAUAUUUUGAACCGCAUGGUUCAAAAGUGAAAGACGGUCUUGCUGUCACUUAUAGAUGGAUCCGCGCUGCAUUAGCUAGUUGGUAAGGUAACGGCUUACCAAGGCAACGAUGCAUAGCCGACCUGAGAGGGUGAGCGGCCACACUUGAACUGAGACACGGUCCAGACUCCUACGGGAGGCAGCAGUAGGGAAUCUUCCGCAAUGGGCGAAAGCCUGACGGAGCAACGCCGCGUGAGUGAUGAAGGUCUUCGGAUCGUAAAACUCUGUUAUUAGGGAAGAACAUAUGUGUAAGUAACUGUGCACAUCUUGACGGUACCUAAUCAGAAAGCCACGGCUAACUACGUG
rnacentral:rRNA from 1 species